UAACUUUUAUGUGGCAUACAUGACUGUGUGCGUAGGUUUUAACCUUAUCUCGAUAACUAUAAUCAGUUACAGUUAGGUGAAGUCACGGAUGGAAAGAUGUACUGUUUUGUUAUUCUCAAGAUUCAGGCAGUUGCUAUGGGGUUUUGUAUAGUUGUGAAUAUGUGUCUCCAGCGGUGGACUCCAGCGAAGCGUGACUGUGUUUGGCAACAACAACACCAGCAGCUCAGCGGCACAACAUAAUGACAUAAUUGGCGGGGGGCGGCGGCGAGGAGCGGGCGGGGAAGGGGCUAGGCGCAUGCGCGGGUUUGACGGCCAAGGUCGAGGCCGCGCGAUUCUGCCGCGCGCCGCCGCGUCGGCUGGUCCCUCUCACGCGCCCUCUUCUGGAAACAUCUUCCACCAGGGCUUAAUGCGCAGUUCUCGCCGCGAGUGACCCCGACAUCUACCCACACGUAAAAUAAGGUGACUCGUGUCCGGCGAGCGUGUCGGUGGUGUGCUAACCGGUCAGUUUCGCGUCUGGACGGAAUUCCUGAGAACAUCAUGUGCGUUUCGAACGCAUGCCGACCGGACCGACGUCGCUUGUUAUGCAACGCUUCAAACAAAACAUCCGCUUCUUGACGGCACGAACUUGUCGUGCACCUGAUGGUAAGCUACUCUCCAGUC